rnacentral:tRNA from 1 species
UGAGUUUUAUUUUAAGAUUAAGAAUUUUUGUUUUACACACAAAGGGUAUAACUCGG